UUGACCUCAAAUCAGGUAGGACUACCCGCUGAACUUAAGCAUAUCAAUAAGCGGAGGAAAAGAAACUAACAAGGAUUCCCCUAGUAACUGCGAGUGAAGAGGGAAAAGCUCAAAUUUAAAAUCUGGCUGUUCUAGUUAGCAGUCCGAGUUGUAGUUUAGAGAAGUGCUAUCCGCGCUGGCCUGUGCAUAAGUUUCUUGGAAAAGAACAUCAUAGAGGGUGACAAUCCCGUCUUUGGCACAGAUCACCAGGGCUUUUGUGAUGCGCUCUCGACGAGUCGUGUUGUUUGGGAAUGCAGCACUAAAUGGGUGGUAAAUUCCAUCUAAAGCUAAAUAUUGGCGAGAGACCGAUAGCGAACAAGUACCGUGAGGGAAAGAUGAAAAGAACUUUGAAAAGAGAGUGAAACAGUGCGUGAAAUUGUUGAAAGGGAACCGUUUGGUAUCAGCCCAUGGCCGUCCCCGAUCACCCGGGCUUCUGCCCGGUGCACUCGGGGACGGUCGGGCCAGCGUCGACUUUGUCCGCCGGAGAAAGGUCGGGGGAACGUGACUCCUCACGGAGUGUUAUAGCCCCCGGCGUCAUGCGGCGUGGCGGGGUCGAGGUCCGCG
rnacentral:rRNA from 1 species